AGUGGCUCAGUGGUAGAGCAUUUGACUAGUAAUCAAAAGGUCCUGAGUUCAA
rnacentral:tRNA from 1 species